rnacentral:Y_RNA from 1 species
GGCAGGUCUGAGUGCAAUGGUAUUUAUAACUAAUUGAUCACAACCAGUAUUCCUUCUCUAUUCCCACUACUUCACUUGACUAACAAAA